CUCGAACGUUCUUCUUCUUCAAUUCGCGCUCAUCUUCUUCUCUUUCCGUUACGAUUCUGUUGUGAAGCCUUUUCUGUUAGGAUCCCUCUUUAUUUAUAGUGAGGAGGGAAUGAAGAUUUUUGAUGAGCUCUUUUUGAUUUGUUUAUUGGCUUGCUGCGCAUUUUGAGUUUUCUGCUGGUGUAGCUGCAGCUGGAAUUUGUUGCUUUUGGUGCUCAGCUGUUGUUGGUGCGUGUGGCAGUCGUUUUGGGUUAUGUCGGCGUUGUCUUUGGAUUGUACCAGCUUGUGUAACGCGCUUUUGGAAGUAGCUUUUUUAGCUAUGGCCGGUUGCCGUUCGUGCUGCUGUUGGAUGUUGCAGCAGCUUUUGGAUGUCGUUGGCUUUGCUUGCGUUUCGAGCUGUUGUUUCGCUUUUGCCUAUUGUAGCUUACCGUGUUUUAGUAGCUUCUCAAAUUGCUUUUCAAUUUAAAUUAUAUUCUCAA